AAUCGUAGUUCUAAACACUAUGGAAUCUUAGUUUACCAAACUCACCUACAGCCAGAUUUGACGCAACCUACUUGUAAGACAAAAAUGUAUUGAGUUUACUCAGCUUCCCGACUCUACUUAAUAAGUCCAGCUAUCAAGCCUUUUGUUUCCCCUUAAGUGACAGAAACUAGACAGUGUUGCCUCUUAACCGAUUACUCUUCUAAAUAGGCAGACCAAAUAGGCCUAAAUCACACAGAAGUAACAGAUGGAAGGUUAAAACAAACAAUCGUAGUUCUAAACACUAUGGAAUCUUAGUUUACCAAACUCACCUACAGCCAGAUUUGACGCAACCUACUUGCAAGUCAAAAAUGUAUAUGAUGAUGAUGAAGAUCUAACUGUUUCUGUUCCGUAGGUAGCAUUGAAGGUCUUCGGCAUGGUGGGCGGGCCGUUGCUGGGGGUGUUCUCCCUGGGGAUGUUCUUCCCCCGGGCCGACUCCACAGGGGCCCUCGUUGGCCUGGGGGCCGGCCUUGCCACGGCCUUCUGGUUGGCGUCGGCAGCAUCAUGACGCGCAGCGGCAGUGGCGUCCUGCCUUCAAACUGUUCCGUUGCCUGGCUGCCCUCGGGGAACACCACUGUCUCACACGCCAACAUGUCUGCCGUUCCCGCCAUCUUUUUCAAUAUCAGCGCAACGCCCCCAACGCUGAGGCCGACAGGGCUGAGGAGGCUCUACUCCCUGUCCUGAAUGUGGUACAGCAGACUCAGCUGUCUGGUGGUGGUGCUGUUCAGGCUUCUCGUCAGCUUUCUAUCAGGUCCAAUGAAAGAGGAGGACGUGUUCCCGGGCACUGUGUACCCCCUGCUGGGGAAUCUGUUGUUCUUCUGGCCUGAUCGCUACAAGAAGAAGCUGUGUUGUACGGGACAGAGCACGCACGCGGAGGACAGGAACGGAAACACCUUCUCGUUGGACAAAGGAGCCACGGAGGCAGAGACCAAGGUGCUGCUCCGCACCUCGGCCCCCCUUCUUUAAUCAAAAAUAAGUAAAAUAUGUCUAGGCCUAAUAUCCUUUUUCCCUCCUCUAUUGACUUUUGUAUGCGUUUUGUACAUGCUACCGCAAGACCGAAGGUUAACUGGAUGCGAGACGACACAGAAUGUUGUGUUUUAGAUUUCAAUCCAUGUGCCAAUAUGCAAAUCGAGAGUCAACACAGUGGGGGGCUGAAUGAUGUUUUACAUGUUAGGCAUUUCCUUAUUUUUCUUUUACGCUAAACACUACAAUUCUCAGGAUUCUCGUUGUGUUUCCUUUCAAUUUUUUUGCAGAUCAUUUUGUUACUGUUACACCUCGUGUUAAUGGAUGUGUUUGGUAAAGCUGUAUUUGGUUAAUAUUUGCAUUAAUUUCACGUGCAUUGAUGACCUGAUGCUUUGAAAAAAAAGCAGAGUAAAGAUUUUUUUUCACUUCUACACCAUACAACACGAGUAGGUUUUAUUUCAUGUGACACUGUACAACCUAGUAUAUUAUGCAUUAUUUAUCAGCAUUAUGUGGUGACCCAAGAGGAGGAAAGGUCAAACUUUAUGUGAUGGUGUUUAAGCAUGGAGGCUCAAACCUCUUCGACAUGACUCAAGGGAGGCUUUCAUUACAUCCAAAUCUAAUCUGGAUUCAACAAGGAACAUCUUCUCAGCUGUACUCAAGGUGCUAUUCAUGUUGUGGCAGUGGAUGUAUGGAAUAACCGUUAAUCUAUUCAAGCUCUACAACAUGUUAAACACGCAGUGUUGUUUUGUUAUCAACCUUUUCUUGUUAUCAACCUCACAUUACCAGAGGGGUAUAUUAGUGGGGGUGAUAAAUGUUUACAACAAGCCUGGUUAACCGGUUAUGGUAAGGGUUUUACAAGAGCAAGUCAUCAGAGACUGCUGUUGGGUCGGUCAGAAUAACGCUGAACUAUGCACUUCUAGUUCAUUUAAAUUAUGGAAUAAAUGUUUAUAAUUUUUUCAAGUCCACAUCUGACCACUCUAUGUAUACAUUAAAUUCCCCCGAGAAUAGACAGAAGAAAAUUGCUGUGCAGUUGACAUCGAAGGAAAGUUUAUUGCAUUGAUACUUUGCAGGUUCACAAACACAAGCUUAAUUACCAGUUAAGACGAGACGUUUAUUGGUUGCCGCAAGAAAGCUUGUAUCAAAAUGUACAACAGUUAAUGGUGACGCAGAAUUGUAGGUACUGCAGGGAUCUGAACCCAGGAUCUACUGUUUACUGGACAGGCACCUUAACCAACUAUGCUACAUUGGGUACAACACCAAUUUAUUGAGAAUACGGCCAAAGCCGUAUGUAUUAUUCCGUGGCUGCGUGAUGAGAGGAAAAAGAUUGGUACCAUAAGCCAAUUGUGGUAGACUGUUACACAACGUCAUUUUUAUUUCGGGCCAUUCAUUUGAACUAUAAAUGAUACACUGGGCGUUUGUUCCCUCCAAACAAUUUAAAAAUAGGAUUAUCUAACAACAUUUGUUUUAUGUUAUUUAGUAGAAAAACGAAGUGGCUGUGAAAUGGUAGCCUAUUUAUUCACGUUUUUUUUAUUUGCAACCAAACUCCUAUUGCUGGCUAAACAACUAGGCCUAUAGUAAUAUUAAGUCCUAUUGCGA
rnacentral:lncRNA from 1 species